GACGUAGGGCGCGAGCGUUGUCCGGAUUUAUUGGGCGUAAAGGGCGCGUAGGCGGAAAUAUAAGUCAGAUGUGAAAUCCCGGGGCUCAACCCCGGAACAGCAUUUGAAACUGCAUUUCUAGAGGGUAAGCGGGGAAAACGGAAUUCCACAAGUAGCGGUGAAAUGCGUAGAUAUCUGGAGGAACACCGGUGGCGAAGGCGACAUCCUGGACCGGUAUUGACGCUGAGGCGCGAAAGCCAGGGGAGCAAACGGG
rnacentral:rRNA from 1 species